AUUUAGAAAACCUAAUUUUUAGUAAAAGAAUAGAGAUAAAAGAAUAUUAAGAGUCCAGAAACUGGUGUCCUGGCUAUGGCCCUGACUUAGACUGUCUCACUUUCUGCAGGGAACGUGCCAAGGCAGUUGGAAAUGGGCGGGCUUUCUCCUGCCGGGGAUAUGCCUCAUGUGGACGCUGCUGCAGCUGCUGUGCCCCUCUCAUAUCAGCACCCAAGCUUUUCUCAUGAAGAACCAGAUGACUCUUGGUAACCAUGUUUGCUGCCCAGCUUCUAACUUACAUACCAUGAGAAGUUACAUAACAUUUACUCCUUUGUAAAUGUUUCCCUAUCAUCAGACAAAACUCAAUAAAAAUGUGUGUAAUCCAGUGUGGGUUUUUUUUUUUCCCCCCCAUAAUUUUGAUACCAUAGUGUGUGAACCAAGAAUAAUCUAGUCACGUGAAACCUCUUCUCCAGUCAUAGUAUUUCUCAUUCAUUAUAAUAAAAGUAACUGGCUUUUAACCUCCUUAUUUUUGUCUUAAAUUUAUAAAUGAGUAUAACCUAUCUUAUUGGUCAACUCCAGGCCUACAUUUUGGAAGUUUAAGCUGUGUUCUUUUCUCUCCAAAGUUGGGCUGCUACCUGUAAAACAGGAGGUCAUUUUUCCUAGCACACUCCUGUUUUGUCCCUGAACAUAAAAACAGAUUUUUCUAGGCAUUAGAAAUAGUAAGAAAGAUACUGCCUCUGGUCUUUACUUUUGAUGUCUGUGGUUUGAAUGUAUGUGUCCCUCCAAAAUUCAUAUGUUGGAAUUUAAACCCCCCAGUGUGAUAGAAUUAAGAGGUGGCACCUUUUGCAGGUGACUAAGAGUGGGAUUAGUGACCUUAUAAAAGGGCUCAAUGGAACUAGCUAGGCCCUUUUGCCCUUCCACCAUUUGAAGACACUGCAUUGAUCCCCUCUGGAGAACACAGCAACAAGGCACCAUCUUGGAAGCAGAGACCGGACCUUCACCAGACAUCGAACCUGCCAGUGCCUUCCUUGAUCUUGGACUUCCCAGCCUCUAAAACUGUAAGAAAUACAUUUCUGGUCUUUAUAAGUUACCCAGUCUAAGGUAUUUUGCUAUAGCAGCAGGAACAGACUGAGAUAGCAUCUUUAUUAUGGAACCUUUGGUCCUCAUACUUAAUGAAUGGGCUUCAAGUAUUUCGUUUGUUUUUAAAUGAAUGGGCUCCUUCCCUAUAAUUGACUUCAUUUUCCUCUCUUAAAAAAUCAAGUUUUACAAGGCAGAACUGGAAAAAAAAUCUCUACUCAACCCUCUAAAGGGUCCUAGGUUUUGUGGCAGGAUCACUAUGGAUAAUUAAGAGGCUGCUUGUGAUGUUAUCUAACCAUUAUUUAC
rnacentral:antisense_RNA from 1 species